CCCCCCUAUACAUGCAGUCGAGCGAACAGAGAAGGAGCUUGCUCCUUUGACGUUAGCGGCGGACGGGUGAGUAACACGUGGGCAACCUACCUUAUAGUUUGGGAUAACUCCGGGAAACCGGGGCUAAUACCGAAUAAUCUGUUUCACCUCAUGGUGAAAUAUUGAAAGACGGUUUCGGCUGUCGCUAUAGGAUGGGCCCGCGGCGCAUUAGCUAGUUGGUGAGGUAACGGCUCACCAAGGCGACGAUGCGUAGCCGACCUGAGAGGGUGAUCGGCCACACUGGGACUGAGACACGGCCCAGACUCCUACGGGAGGCAGCAGUAGGGAAUCUUCCACAAUGGGCGAAAGCCUGAUGGAGCAACGCCGCGUGAGUGAAGAAGGAUUUCGGUUCGUAAAACUCUGUUGUAAGGGAAGAACAAGUACAGUAGUAACUGGCUGUACCUUGACGGUACCUUAUUAGAAAGCCACGGCUAACUACGUGCCAGCAGCCGCGGUAAUACGUAGGUGGCAAGCGUUGUCCGGAAUUAUUGGGCGUAAAGCGCGCGCAGGUGGUUUCUUAAGUCUGAUGUGAAAGCCCACGGCUCAACCGUGGAGGGUCAUUGGAAACUGGGAGACUUGAGUGCAGAAGAGGAUAGUGGAAUUCCAAGUGUAGCGGUGAAAUGCGUAGAGAUUUGGAGGAACACCAGUGGCGAAGGCGACUAUCUGGUCUGUAACUGACACUGAGGCGCGAAAGCGUGGGGAGCAAACAGGAUUAGAUACCCUGGUAGUCCACGCCGUAAACGAUGAGUGCUAAGUGUUAGGGGGUUUCCGCCCCUUAGUGCUGCAGCUAACGCAUUAAGCACUCCGCCUGGGGAGUACGGUCGCAAGACUGAAACUCAAAGGAAUUGACGGGGGCCCGCACAAGCGGUGGAGCAGGUGGUUUAAUUCGAAGCAACGCGAAGAACCUUACCAGGUCUUGACAUCCCGUUGACCACUGUAGAGAUAUGGUUUCCCCUUCGGGGGCAACGGUUACAGGUGGUGCAUGGUUGUCGUCAGCUCGUGCCGGAGAAGUUGGGUUAAGUCCGGAACGAGGGCAACCCUUGAACUAAUUGCCACCAUUAAGUGGGCCCUCCAAGGGGACUGCCGGUGAAAAACGGAAAAAAGGGGGGGUAAACUCAAAAAAAAAGGCCCUUAAAACGGGGGCAACAAGGGUUAAAAUGGAAAAAAAGAAGGUUGCCACUCCCGGAGGAGAGUUAUCCCAAAAAAUUUUUCUUUUUGGGGUUGGGUGGGGAACUCCCCCAAAAAACCGGAUCUAUGUUUA
rnacentral:rRNA from 1 species